AAAGUUGAAUACUAAAUCGGUUCUAGUGGGGGUCAGCCACUAGAGGUAAGGGGGAAAAUUUGGUGUAAACCCAAUGCUGUCCCGCAACUGUGAUGAGAUUACUACAAGUAGUCGCUGAGUCAGGAUGCCCGCCGAUGGCUUGAAAACUUU
rnacentral:ncRNA from 2 species